rnacentral:rRNA from 1 species
AGUAGUUGACUCUCGGCUCAGGACGAACGCUGGCGGCGUGCUUAACACAUGCAAGUCGAGCGGUAAGGCCUCUUCGGGGGUACACGAGCGGCGAACGGGUGAGUAACACGUGAGUAAUCUGCCCUCCACUUUGGGAUAAGCCUCGGAAACGGGGUCUAAUACCGGAUAUGAGCUUCCUACGCAUGUGGGUUGCUGGAAAGUUUUUCGGUGGGGGAUGUGCUCGCGGCCUAUCAGCUUGUUGGUGGGGUAAUGGCCUACCAAGGCUUCGACGGGUAGCCGGCCUGAGAGGGUGACCGGCCACACUGGGACUGAGACACGGCCCAGACUCCUACGGGAGGCAGCAGUGGGGAAUAUUGGACAAUGGGCGGAAGCCUGAUCCAGCAACGCCGCGUGAGGGAUGACGGCCUUCGGGUUGUAAACCUCUUUCACCUCCGACGAAGCGAAAGUGACGGUAGGGGGGAGAAGAAGCACCGGCCAACUACGUG